rnacentral:rRNA from 1 species
CUGAUAAAUUAUUAAAGGGCUGCAGUAUUUUGACUGUACAAAGGUAGCAUAAUCAAUAGUCUCUUAAUUGGUGACUUGUAUGAAAGAUUGGAUGAAAUAUAAACUGUCUCUUAUUUAUUUAAAGAAAUUAAUUUUUUGAUUAAAAAGUCAAAAUAAAUUUAAAAGACGAGAAGACCCUAUAGAGUUUUAUAUUUUUAUUAAUUAAGAUUAUUUUUUAGAGUAAUAAUUAAAAUUAAUAAAGGUAUUUUGUUGGGGUGAUAGAAAAAUAUGAAUAACUUUUUUUAAUAAUUUUUACAUAAAUAAGUGAAUAAUUGAUCCAAAAUUUUUGAUUAAAAGAAAAAAUUACCUUAGGGAUAACAGCGUAAUUUUUUUUUUUAGUUCAAAUAAAAAAAAAAGUUUGCGACCUCGAUGUUGGAUUAAAAUAAAAUUUAUAUGCAAAAGUAUAAAAUUUUGAUCUGUUCGAUC